rnacentral:tRNA from 2 species
CAGGUAUGGCGAAAUUGGUAGACGCGCUAGACUUAGGAUCUAGUGGAGCAAUCCGUGCGGGUUCAAGUCCCUCUACCUGC